GGGCCAGAUCCCAGUCUCGGUGACAUCAGCGUCAAGCCACUAAAGCCAAUGUCGCUCCUCCGGCCCACUCGAUGCUGUUUGUGAGCGCCAGUGCGGUUCUGAGGCCCUUUCUAAAGAGGGCCUCCAUGAUGAUGGAUAAGCAGGAGACGCAGUUCUGUCUGCAUGCUGCUUUAAGGUGGUAAAACUCUAUGGAUCACCAAGGAAAUCCGGUGUUCGGAUUUACUGGGGACAUUCUCAGAGGUAGGAGCCAGCCCCGGAGGAGACUGGCAGAGAGCUGUGUGGCGAAGGGUUACUGCGUUCUCCCCACCCUCCCUCUGUCUGUGCGGCGCUUCCUGCAUUACAUAUUUGUCUUUAUCCUGGUGCAUUGCCGGCUGCGCUGCCCGGGAAAGGAGCGUAUUGGUGCUGAGGGAUGAUUUCCUAGCAUGUAGGAACCAGCCAUGCCCCAGCGCCGCUGCAGAUCCGAGAGCUCUAAUCCCCCUUCCCCAAUCCCUUCAAAGCACGACGGAGGAAAAAACACCCCAAGAGCCGGACCCAGUGUCUCCAUCCUCAACGGAAGCACGGACGGCGUCUUGUACUUACCCUCUGAGGGUCUCUUCUUGCUACUGAAGAACAAAGAAGCUCUCUCCUGUAUUCCAGCUGAGCAUUCCUCCUUCGGUAGCAGGGGGCUCCUUAGGACGUCCAGGAUUGGAAUAAAAAUACCGCUGGGCCAGGCUGCGGAACAAGGAGCUGCAUCAGUCCUGGCCUUCAGUGCAGGAGCUGGCCUUUUGCUUUGGAAAUGGAUGGCAGUUAUUUGUAUUCUCUUAACACGGGCCGGGCCCACCGCUGCUUGCUUUGCCUCAGAGGGCACGGACCAGGGCCCCUUGCGCGAGGGGCUGCAAAGGACAGGACAAAAAGAUGGUCCCUGCCCCCAGCUAACAGACUGGCUCCCAGCUACCGGCAUCCAGCACAUCAAGUAAAGCGUUAUAGUCUUUGAGAUCAUCCAUUCUGCCCCUCUUUCCUUACUGAAAUCCUUAAUGUUGUGUAGCUCAGGGCUGGGCAAACUUUUUGGCCCGAGGGCCACAUUGAGGUUGCAAAACUAUGGAGGGCCAGGUAAGGAAGGCUGUGCCUCCCCAAACAGCCUGG
rnacentral:lncRNA from 1 species